ensembl:lncRNA
CCUCCUCUGAUCUUCACCCCCUCGUCCUGGUCUCCUGAUUGGAACCUCCUCCUCCUCUGAUCUUCACCCCCUCGUCCUGGUCUCCUGACGGGCUCUGAUGUGGGAGCAGCCUGCGUCGUCUCAUCUGGGAGCGUGUGAGGAAGGUGGGAAGCCGGCUCUCUAAUGGGACCAGAUCACCUGCUGAGCUUCACGCAGCCUGAGAGCAGCAGGUAGGUUCCUCUUCGACCCCCCUCCUCGCUGUCAGACUAACCUGAUGAUGUCGUCUCCCAUCGAGGAUUCAUCCCUCAUGCUACAACUUCCGCCCUAAAUGUAAAUACUCGUCGUCACAUCUUCCUGACUCCCCUCCCUCCAUCUCUCCCGGUUCUUCUCCUCUGUGGAGGAUUACCAGCUGUGCGUGACUGAUGGGCAGAAGAUACGCCAUCAGAAUAAGUUAGAAGAAGCCCCCCGUCCCCCCAAGGAGAUGCGCUCUCUCUCCCUCUGAAGUGUCAUCCGUCCUGCUCGUCUUCUGAACCGGGAAUAAGUGGCCUAUCUAAUCCCGUGCAUGUUUCUGUGGCUGGAUGUGACGCCGCAUCACCUGCAGGGCGGCCUGAGGCCUCCUCGCCGCCCCGACCCGACCCGCCCCCUUUGUGUGUGUGUGUGCGUGUGUGGUUUACAGCCAACGUGUGAGAAUGAAAUGGAUCCAAACUUGAUCCAGUUUCCAUCGGGACAUCCGGACCGGUUUGGGGCCCGACGCUGCUGAUCUAAAUGUGCUGCACCCUAAUUACCCAGAAUCCCCUCUGACGCCUGCAGUUCUCUGCCUCCUUUGGUAAGUGAUUAACAAUCUGUGCGUUGUGUUUUCGUUGGACGUUUUGAUUUGUGGGCUGCUCUGGGAUUGGGCCAAGCCGUCACGUGACCUGCUGAGUCAGCAGCGCUCGCACACGCACACGCACACUGAUGACCUCUCCAGAGACGGGCCUGACCCCAUUACAUCCCUCCCUCCCGCUCUCCCUCCCAUGUAUGUGUGAGUGCUGCGAGCUUAUUGAUCACUUCAAUAAUUAGAAGCAAAUUGAGGUGAAGUUGGAAGAAUUCUUAAUUUCCCCCUCGAGAACCUGGCUGUCCGUCACGCUGCGGCGCUGUCGGCUUCCCCGAGCGGUUGGCGUUGGACGGAUGCUCCUUCAUACGUUACGAGCCUUUUCAGAAUAAACUUCCUCCUUCACAGGAUGUCAGGUUGCUCCGUCACGUAUUUAAACACGAACCACCUUUUCCUGCGUUGAAAAGCGUCUUAAUGUUCAUGUGUUUGUGACGUUGGACGUUUUGAAGCAAAUUGCACAAAAGGAUGCAGAGGAAUAUUUGCCCAGAUAUCACAGCAAGGAAACGUUGCCCUUUGACCUGGUACAUGUGGCUGAAAUGCAAUUCGCAGCACUUUGGAGGUGCUGCCAGCCCCCCCCGGCCCCCCGGCCCCCUCCUGGGAGGAAUCAGCGGCUGGAAGCGGCCUGUGUCAUUACGAGCCGCUCUGCUUUCUGACUGAUGGCUCUUGAUGAAGUAGUUCAGUGAUUGAAGAGUAACGACACAGCGGGAAAAUCUAUAAGAGGCCUUUUUAAACCGCCGCUGGAAAGGAGCGCCGCGAUUGGCCGUCGUCUGUCCCCGUGUAAUCAGACGGCUGUUUGACCCCCCCCCCCCCCCACACGCCCGUCCCUUUGGGGGUAAUAUCAGUACAGCUCAUCGGCUUCAGAAUCCACAAAAGAAAUGCAGAUUGAUGUAAACUGUAAAGCUUAAACAUCUGCGCUUGUGAUCAUUGUGUACACACACACACACACACACACACAGCUUUGAGCUUUUAUUUUGGCGGGUAAGGGCAGUGGAUCUGACCCACUCUCCCCACGUCCUCCUUUUACUUUAAUUGGUUCGGAUUUAAAUGAAUCCAAGAAUAAAGGAAUAAUCUCCAGUAUGUGAAGAUUGAAUGAGCUGAUGUUGGACGUUUAAUGUUCGGGUCCGUUAUGAAACAUAACUUGUAUUUAUAAAACUCGGCCGUCUCAUCUAAGAGUCUUUACUUCUAAUCGUGCAGGAGGAGCUGCAUGCUGGACAAACACUGUUGCUGAGUAUUAAUAUUAGUAUUAACAUGUAAGGAAUGUUAAGAGUAGAAACCACCAAAUGAUAUGAAGAUAAAGUACUUUUAUCUGUUUAGUGGAAGUUUCCAAACCAGCUUUCUUGUAGCCGGUAAACAUGCAUCUCCUCUCCCCUCCGUGGACUCCUUCAGGUCCUCCGGCGGAGGCAGGGUCCACUGAGACCUCCUCGGUUUGUGGAGGCCGGUGGAUAUGAGGGUUAGGGUCGCUGAUGUCGGCUCCUCGUGGGUGAAGUUCUGCUUCAGGUGAACGUUUCAUGAUCUUCUUUUUGUUACUCGACAGGAAGCUCCGGGAGGUUUGGCGCCGAGCGUCACCGCCGCCUUCCAGCCUCGGCUUCUGGAAUCAACAUGGCAGCCGUGUUUCUGCCCCCCACGCAAGGCUGCCAUGACAGGUUCGUAUUUGCACGAGAUUAGGGCUGUAAUAUUUUGGCAUUAAGGUGAGUUAAUACAGGAAUGAAUAUGGAAAAUGAGGGUAAUUACCCACCGUGAGGCGCUCUGAGACAUUUUAGGGACAUGUCAGGAUUUUCUCGUCUCCCUGUCUUCUUUACCCUCCUCUCGAGCUCCACCACGUUUCCGCCCCCCGCUGUGCUCCUCUGCUCCCCCGUUAAUAGCGGAGCGACCCCCGAGCCGGGUGCGACUGGCUGAGAGCAUUGAUUAUCACGGAGCUGUCCUUGAUGGAGCCGCUGGGCUCGGUGUGUGUAAUUAAACGUUGACACGGGGGCUUUAAAGGAGGCCCGUCAAACUGUGACCUUCUCGGCGGCUCGGAGAGGUGAGCGCGCCGUCUACUCCUGCUGGAGGCUGACAAAGGGAGGAGGAGGAGGAGGAGGAGGGUGGUGCCACACGUCUUUCAAGCACAACCUUUUCGGGUCCUCCAGCUGAAGUUGUCUUUGGGGUUUCGUACCUCUGAAGCUCCUCAGACUGUGAACAAUACCGUUUGAAAGACGAGGAUUAACACGAUUUCUUAGUUACUCCCCAUUUUGCACGCGUUUUCCUACAAGAUUCCAGCAUCACGUGUCAAUAUUCUAUUCAAAACGAACCUUUACAUGCAACACGACACGGAGCCAGCAUCCAUCAUCAGCAUCCAGUCCGUCCUGCUGGGGUUCGGUCGGAGGACUGUGGGCGUCACCUGAGGUGGAAUAUAAAUCUAAAAUGUAAAUGUCUUUUGUGUGUGUGUGUGUGUGCUUGUGGCAUCGGGACAAAUGCAUCAGGAGGUAAAAGAAGCGCCAGGCCGCCUCGCUGCUGCUGCAGAAUCAUUUCGUCGUGCAUUUACAUGCAAAUUUCCCCUUCUGCUGCCUCUCUGCAGCCACAAUGGAGCUCAGCAAAUCAUUGUCUCAUCACAGAGGGAUGGAUUUCAUCCCCGGGCCGGCUGGAUGCGGAGGGGAAACCGGCUGAAUUCAUAUUUCCAGCUCUCUGCCACCGAGCCAGAACUCGCUCGUCCUUCAUGACGGAGGAAAGCAAACAGCGCGGCCCUUUAGCAUUUGUGCAAAUGUCAGAGAGAAGGACCGAUCUCUGGAACUAACCACAGCAGACGUGAAGGAAGCUUUACAAAAAAGCCCGUCUGCUGAACAAAUGGACGGGCCGACGGCUUGUGGUCCCCAGCGAGCCGUUCAUCAGAGGGAGCUCGGAGCCCCAAAGCGGUCCUGAAGACCUCCAUGAGAUAAAGACUUCCUCUAUUUAAAGAUGCAUUUGUUGUAUUGGCUUACGUCCCCCCCCCCCCCAUUACGAUCGUUUCCUUUCAUUCGCAACAUCUGGCACAUCUGGAUGUGCUGAGAGGGGCGUGGCUCCGCGAUCGAAUUGACAACAUACACAUUUGUCAUAUUUCCCAGAAUUACGCGCCUCAUAACGCAUGGGAGGCUUAAGUACGCAGCCACGUACCAGUCAGGUGAGAGAAGCUGUCUAAUCAGGACGUCGUUAGCGUAGCUUAGCAUAAAGGAUGGAAGCUAAGGAGCCCGGAUUGUGGAAGAGGUGGUCAGCGGGAAUGUCACAGUCCGCCCCCCUCCAGCCCUCAGAGGGUUAAAGUUGAGGCUGAAUGGAAGUUAUCCAGGUGCAUCGUGGGCCAAAAAGCUCCAGAGUGAAGACGACGGCUGCCAAGCGGCUGUCAGACUGUGACAGGAAAGCUGCUGCAGGAGGAGGCGCAGACAGCCGGCAAGCCCCAACUGGACCGAGUCCCUGGCGGUGCGUCCGUAGCGCUCGCUAAUCUUUAGCCACUUCAAUGCUAUCUCUCCUCCGUUCUGUUCAGAGUGCCGGCGCCUCUCGGGAAGUUUGGGUUUGGAGAACUGAAACCUUAAUUACUCUCCGUCUCCCCUUUUGUCGGCUGAAGGCCUCCACCCUUCAAUCAGGAGGUAUUAGGUACUAGGGGGCUGAUUUUCUUUUUUUGGGGGGGGGGGGUUUAAGGCGGCAACUUAACUGGAUUAAUCAUCACCAAUCAUCCUCCAUCAGGGGUUUGUACCGGCCGUCCUCUUCUGGGCCGUGAAUGAAGCGCCCUGAAAAGCUCUUUGUUGCACACAGAUGUUUUUCUCCUACUGAUACUCACAUGUACGAUUAAACAACGCACUCGUAUGCAUUUCUAUUUUUACAUUUCAUACAUCUUCGAUCGCUCUCGUCAUUCACUUCCUGUGAAGCCAUGUCUGCUUCACAGGGAUUAACUGAGAGUCACUAUUUCAUUUAAACGAAAACGAACAUCAGGAGUUUCCAGUAUUUCUUUUAUAUUUUCAUAGGCUGCUGCAGACAAAACGGUCCCCUGAAUCGGUAGUUUGACUUGAGGAGACUGGACUUUAAUAUUCAUUCCCGGCGUCCCGGCGGGACCGGCGCGUCUCUGGGGCUUCACAGCAGACAGGGAGGAGGAAGAGGAGGAGAGGAUGAAGAGUGUGAGGCAAGAAGACGGGCAAGGUGGGAGGUGAGAAACAGAACAGGAGAGAGGCUCAAUUCUUCUACUGCACAUUAACCACCAAAACCCUGUUAAACGUUAAGAGGAGAAGAAGCAAGUGAAGGUGAAUAAACGCAUCGGAUGACGAAGGUCGUCAUAGUUACCGAUUUGCCCCACGAGUUCCUUCAUAGUGCUUCUCAAAGUUCGCAGCCUCCACCUCCUCGUCCACAUGCACCCUUCAAACGUCCUCCUCACUGUCUUCUUCCUCUUUCCUUAUUCAUUUCAGCUGGGGGCGGGGUUAUGGCCAGCCAAUGAGACGGCGGCAUCGGCCAGGUGGAGCUGAUAAUGCAGCCGAUAAAGGUCCUCUGAUAUUAACAAAUGAAGAACCAGCUCCAACUGAUUAGUUUCAUCAAUAGAAGAAGUAAUCGAUGCUGCAGCAGCAGAUUCCAAUGAUCUCUCACACACACGAGCAUCCUAAUUAUCCUGUUCGGGUGGAGAAAUGUAUUCUCAGUCUCAUGAUAACUCGCUCUUCAAACUGAAGUAAAUUGGAUGUAAAGUGUUUUGGCAGUUUAGAGUUUUAUUCACUUCAGUCAGAGACGGAUGAAGAAAUCAGACUAAUUAGUGAACAGAAAGGGGGAAGCCCGGUGGGAAAGUACUGAAUUACAUGUUAAGAUCUGGCAGUAGAAUACAAGAAUACCAAAUGUGAAGCCUGGAACCUUUAAUCUGACAGGCGUUUGCGUUAAGGAAGGAAAGGAGUCAAGGAAAGGCUGAGGGACAGUGUUCCUCACAGACCUUCCUCUUCAUUCCAGAGGAGGAACCAGGGUUCCCAACACCUUCACAAGGUGAUUUGAACGGAUUGUAACUUCACUGAACUCUGAUCGUUGCUCCGGCUCUUCUCCAACGUGUUUUGCAGUAUUUUUAGAUGAUUGUGAGAACAUGUGACCCAUGAGGGGCGAGAUGUGGUGAAAGCAUGAAGUCUGAAUUUGGCCUGAAUGAAAUAUUCAUUGCUUCAUUCUAUGUGCACAUUAAGCCUGAAACAUUGUUACAUAACUGGUCAUGUCAGAAACACCAAGCGGGACCAAACCGGGACUCUGCAGCAGAAAGCUUCUCCCACUUCGUCUCCGCUCGAUUUCCUUCUUCGCCUCAAAACCUCCAGCGGCGGAUUGUAACGUUCCUCAACACUUCCUGUGGGCGGGGCCAUGAAACCUGGGAAAGCACAUUUCUGUAACCCACUGGAACGUAAUGGUUCCCAGCUGAGCCUGAAGGAGUCGGGUUUUACUGCCUCAUCUCUUCGAUUUAGUCUCAUUCGUUCGUUGGGUUUCGUCUUUUUAGAAGAAACUCAACGACUUUGCUGUCACUGUCACGGUUUUAUUUUGUAAUUUCUUACCUCUUGUCUCCCUGGGUAACGUCACUUCCUGUCUUGUCCUGUCAUCCCUGCCUUUUUCCCCAGCACACCUUCCUGACAUUUGCUUCCAUGUUGCUGCCGUGGAUCCAUCACAUCUGCUCCCCAGCUGACCAGCCACAUGUUCUAACCAGUAACCUGUUACAUAGUUUACUACAAACUGAAAUGGAACCAGUCAUAACAGCACCCUCCCUUUGCUAACGGCUAACCUGCUAGCUGUUAUCUCCUCCUUGGCUGUUUCUCACUGCGUCCUUGGAGCAGUAAUGAGAAGGAAGUGGAGCCCAGAUGUGAACUGUGACGUUCUGAAGCAGAGAAAAGUAUUUUUGUUUCUUAUCGAGGAUGAAAAGCUGCCAGUGUUUU